rnacentral:rRNA from 1 species
AUGAUAGCAUUGGUUGUUCAAUCCAGAAAAAGAAAAGGAAGAGAAGCAAUUACGUAUGCCCCAAUUGAUGAGAGAGAUAGGAUGAGAAGAGAGUAUUUUGACAACAAAAUAUGGAAGAAUGACACAAUUUGUGUGAACAUGCUUAGGCUUGGAAGAGAACCUUUCUUUAGGUUUUGUCAACUCUUUAGGGAUCGCAACUUGCUAAAGGACACAAUACACUUGACUAUUGAGCAACAAGUAGUGAUGUUCUUGCACACCGUUGGGCACAACAUUAGAAAUAUGGUAAUUGGCGCCAAUUUUGGUAGAUCCGGUGAAGUCGUGAGCCGUUACUUCAAAACGGUACUCCAUGCCAUUGGUGAGCUUCGAGAUGACCUUAUUAGGAAGCCUUCAUUGGAGACCCAAACCAAAAUAGAAGGAAACUACCGGUGGGAUCCAUACUUUAAGGCUCACCCAGAGGAUGAACAAUACCUUAACAAGACUAUUACUCAUUAUAAGGAGAUGGUGAAUAUAGCUGGAGGGAGCAUGGCUACAGGGCAAUAUGCAAAAGGCUCAAGUGACCCUCUUGCUACAGAAGUGGUAAAUCUUGAAGAAGAGACAACCAAGAAACCCACUGCCCGAAAUGAGGAGGUUGCGCAAUCAACCAAUGUAGGUUCAUCUGGUCCCAAACCAAAGAAAGCCAAACCAAAUCCUUGUGCAGAAGACAAGUUGCACGCAACCAUACUAGCAUCUAGUGAAAGAAUUGCUAUUGCGAUAGAGAAGAGUACUAGCAGCGAGAACAAUGCCAUAGAUGGUCUUUGGGAGAGCAUGAAAGUACUUCCUGGUUUCAGUUUGGAUCACCUUGCUCAUUACUAUGCAUAUUUGGUUGACAAUCCUCGUGUUGCUAUGGCAUUCAAGGUGUUAGAAGAGGAUCAAAGGAAGGUUUGGGUUUCUAGGUAUGUCAAGAGUACCUUCCCUGAAGCAUAA